rnacentral:rRNA from 1 species
ACUCCUACGGGAGGCAGCAGUGGGAAUAUUGCACAAUGGGGAAACCCUGAUGCAGCCAUGCCGCGUGUGUGAAGAAGGCCUUCGGUUGUAAAGCACUUUCAGUAGGGAGGAAGGUAGUGUAGUUAACACCUGCAUUAUUUGACGUUACCUACAGAAGAAGCACCGGCUAACUCCGUGCCAGCAGCCGCGGUAAUACGGAGGGGUGCGAGCGUUAAUCGGAAUUACUGGGCGUAAAGCGCAUGCAGGCGGCCUGUUAAGUCAGAUGUGAAAGCCCGGGGGCUUAACCUCGGAAUUGCAUUUGAAACUGGCAGGCUAGAGUCUUGUAGAGGGGGUAGAAUUUCAGGUGUAGCGGUGAAAUGCGUAGAGAUCUGAAGGAAUACCAGUGGCGAAGGCGGCCCCCUGGACAAAGACUGACGCUCAGAUGCGAAAGCGUGGGGAGCAAACAGGAUUAGAUACCCUGGUAGGAUAGCG